AGCGAACGCUGGCGGCAGGCCUAACACAUGCAAGUCGAACGAGGCCUUCGGACCUAGUGGCGGACGGGUGAGUAACACGUGGGAACGUGCCCUUUGGUACGGAAUAACUCAGGGAAACUUGAGCUAAUACCGUAUGUGCCCUUCGGGGGAAAGAUUUAUCGCCAUUGGAGCGGCCCGCGUCUGAUUAGCUAGUUGGUGGGGUAAUGGCUCACCAAGGCGACGAUCAGUAGCUGGUCUGAGAGGAUGACCAGCCACAUUGGGACUGAGACACGGCCCAAACUCCUACGGGAGGCAGCAGUGGGGAAUCUUGCGCAAUGGGCGAAAGCCUGACGCAGCCAUGCCGCGUGGAUGAUGAAGGUCUUAGGAUUGUAAAAUCCUUUCACCGGUGAAGAUAAUGACUGUAGCCGGAGAAGAAGCCCCGGCUAACUUCGUGCCAGCCGCCGCAGUAAAAC
rnacentral:rRNA from 1 species